GAUGAACGCUGGCGGCGUGCCUCAAACAUGCAAGUCGAGCGGGGCUAUGUAAUAUCGCAAGGUAGAACAUAGCCUAGCGGCGAACGGGUGAGUAACACGUGGGUAACCUGCCUGGAAGACAGGGAUAACGAUUCGAAAGGGUCGCUAAUACCUGAUAAUAUCCUUUCAUCGCAUGGUGAUAGGAAGAAAGGGGAAACCCGCUUUCAGAUGGGCCCGCGUCCCAUCAGCUAGUUGGUAAGGUAAAGGCUUACCAAGGCGACGACGGGUAGCCGGUCUGAGAGGAUGUACGGCCACACUGGGACUGAGAUACGGCCCAGACUCCUACGGGAGGCAGCAGUUGGGAAUCUUAGGCAAUGGACGAAAGUCUGACCUAGCGACGCCGCGUGAGGGAAGAAGGCCUUCGGGUUGUAAACCCCUGUCAUGGGGAAGAAGUAAGUGACGGUACCCAAGAGGAAGCCCCUGCUAACUACGUG
rnacentral:rRNA from 1 species